AUUGAACGCUGGCGGCAGGCCUAACACAUGCAAGUCGAGCGGGGUUUUCGGACCUAGCGGCGGACGGGUGAGUAAUGCGUAGGAAGCUACCCGAUAGAGGGGGAUACCAGUUGGAAACGACUGCUAAUACCGCAUAAUGUCUACGGACCAAAGUGUGGGACCUUCGGGCCACAUGCUAUCGGAUGCGCCUACGUGGGAUUAGCUAGUUGGUGGGGUAAUGGCUCACCAAGGCGACGAUCCCUAGCCGGUUUGAGAGGAUGAUCAGCCACACUGGAACUGAGACACGGUCCAGACUCCUACGGGAGGCAGCAGUGGGGAAUAUUGGACAAUGGGCGCAAGCCUGAUCCAGCCAUGCCGCGUGUGUGAAGAAGGCCUUCGGGUUGUAAAGCACUUUCAGUAGGGAGGAAGGGUGUUGUGUUAAUAGCACAGCAUUUUGACGUUACCUACAGAAGAAGCACCGGCUAACUCUGUGCCAGCAGCCGCAGUAAAAC
rnacentral:rRNA from 1 species